rnacentral:rRNA from 1 species
UACGUAGGGUGCAAGCGUUGUUCGGAAUUAUUGGGCGUAAAGCGCGUGUAGGCGGCUUUGCAAGUCGGGUGUGAAAGCCCUCAGCUCAACUGAGGAAGUGCGCCCGAAACUGCAGAGCUUGAGUGCCGGAGAGGGUGGCGGAAUUCCCCAAGUAGAGGUGAAAUUCGUAGAUAUGGGGAGGAACACCGGUGGCGAAGGCGGCCUGCUGGGCAGUAGCUGACACUGAGGCGCGACAGCGUGGGGAGCAAACAGG